UGGGGAAUUUUCCGCAAUGGGCGAAAGCCUGACGGAGCAAGACCGCGUGAGGGAGGAAGGCUCUUGGGUUGUAAACCUCUUUUCUUUGGGAAGAAGCUCUGACGGUACCAAAGGAAUCAGCAUCGGCUAACUCCGUGCCAGCAGCCGCGGUAAUACGGAGGAUGCAAGCGUUAUCCGGAAUCAUUGGGCGUAAAGCGUCCGCAGGUGGCUGUUCAAGUCUGCGGUCAAAGACAGUGGCUCAACUACUGAAAGGCCGUGGAAACUGAAUAGCUAGAGGCAGGUAGGGGUAGAGGGAAUUCCCGGUGUAGCGGUGAAAUGCGUAGAGAUCGGGAAGAACACCAGUGGCGAAAGCGCUCUGCUGGACCUGCACUGACACUGAGGGACGAAAGCUAGGGGAGCG
rnacentral:rRNA from 1 species